UGGGGAAUAUUGCACAAUGGGCGCAAGCCUGAUGCAGCCAUGCCGCGUGUGUGAAGAAGGCCUUCGGGUUGUAAAGCACUUUCAGCGAGGAGGAAGGGUAGUGUGUUAAUAGCACAUUGCAUUGACGUUACUCGCAGAAGAAGCACCGGCUAACUCCGUGCCAGCAGCCGCGGUAAUACGGAGGGUGCAAGCGUUAAUCGGAAUUACUGGGCGUAAAGCGCACGCAGGCGGUUUGUUAAGUCAGAUGUGAAAUCCCCGCGCUUAACGUGGGAACUGCAUUUGAAACUGGCAAGCUAGAGUCUUGUAGAGGGGGGUAGAAUUCCAGGUGUAGCGGUGAAAUGCGUAGAGAUCUGGAGGAAUACCGGUGGCGAAGGCGGCCCCCCUGGACAAAGACUGACGCUCAGGUGCGAAAGCGUGGGGAGCAAAACAGGAUUAGAUACCCUGGUAGUCCACGCUGUAAACGAUGUCGACUUGGAGGUUGUGCCCUUGAGGCGUGGCUUCCGGAGCUAACGCGUUAAGUCGACCGCCUGGGGGAGUACGGCCGCAAGGUUAAAAAC
rnacentral:rRNA from 1 species